CGGACGGGUGAGUAAUACUUAGGAAUCUGCCCAUUAGUGGGGGACAACUAGAAGAAAUUCUAGCUAAUACCGCAUACGCCCUACGGGGGAAAGCGGGGGAUCUUCGGACCUCGCGCUAAUGGAUGAGCCUAAGUCGGAUUAGCUUGUUGGUGAGGUAAAGGCUCACCAAGGCGACGAUCCGUAGCUGGUCUGAGAGGACGAUCAGUCACACUGGGACUGAGACACGGCCCAG
rnacentral:rRNA from 1 species